UUGUACCGGAAUUUCAAGCGAUUAACACCGUGUUCGGCUCGAGUGAAAAUCUUUUUGUGUUUUGUUCCAAAUUCUUGUUAGAAUGCCCGCUAAGAAGGACUCGAGCAAGGGCUCCAAGAAAGGAGCUGCGGCCCCUGCAAAACCGGCCACCGAUCCUGUGACUUCUGGAUCUACUGCCACCGUGGAACCAGCCGCCAAAGAAGCCAAGGGCGCCAAAAAGGGCAAAGGCAAGAAGAAGUAACGUUUCGACCAGGAUCUCUAGAACCCAAAAAUCAGUUAUGAAGCUCCACUAAACGAUAUAAUAAAAAAUAUAAAUCCA